rnacentral:lncRNA from 1 species
UUAUUGCAUUGUAUUGUGAACACCACUGAUUGUAUAUCAAGUGUUCAAAGUCAAACAUUUUCUGUGUAUUUUUGUUUGAAUAGAAGCCUCUCGCAUGCAUGCUUGAGCAUUAGAAGACUCUUGCUUUAGUGCUUGAGCAUUGGAAGCCUCUUGCCUGCGUGCUUGAGCAUUUUGAGAAGUCUCAUACUUAGAGAGUAUUGAGCAUUUGUAAUCUUUGAGAUUAUUAGUGAAAAUCUCCUUGGAAGUGCAAGGGGGACUAGACUACUUCCGGUUUGUGGAAGGAACCAGGAUAAUUGCUUGUGUCUCUCUUUCUUUUCUCUGC